AUCAACUUGAAUUCAGGAUCGUAAUGUUAAAUUUCGCUAUGGUUUCAUCCAAGAGGGAUUUAUCUAUACCAAUUAUCUAUUUAUUUCCUUGAAUUUGUGGGCUAUCUUUCAAGUGUGCAACUAAACGCUUCAAUGGUACGGAGCCAAAUUUUAGAAAAUUCGUUUCUAAUCAAUAAUGCUAUUAAGAAGUUCAAUACUCUUGUUCUAAUUAUUCCUCUGAUUGGAUCAUUAGCUAAAGCGAAAUUUUGUAACAUACUAGGGUAUCCCAUUAGUAAGCCAGUUCGAGCUGAUUUAUCAGAUUAUGAUAUUAUUGAUUGGUUUGGGAGUACAUGCAGAAAUCUUUCUCAUUAUCAUAGCAGAUCUUCCAAAAAAACAAAGAGUUGUAUCGAAUAAAGUAUAUACUUCGACUUUUUGUGCUAGAACUUUGGCUCGGAAACACAAAACUAUUGUACGUGCUUUUUUGAAAAGAUUAGGCUCCGUUAAUUGAACGAAACUAGAUCUUGUAGAAUCAUAUUGAAUAUUUGACGAUACAUUACGUACCUUUCUAAAAAACCGAUCCUUGUUUACCAACCACACAUUGUCUAACAAAAUCAAAUUCUCUCUCGAUGCGUUCCUCAAAAAAAUUCUAUUCAUGCGAGUUCUUUCCACAACUAAGGAAGAGAUCUUGGCGGAAUUGUCACAUAUGAAAUUUAGCACAAUUUUGCAAAGAAAUAGCCCACUUAUUUCUCAAGAAGAGAUGGGAAACAUGAAAAAGUUUUUCAUUUGUCUAUAAUGAUAGACAAUCCCAUCUAUAUUAUAGAAAAUAUUCUAUCAAAUUCGAACCUGAACUCUAUUUACAUUAGGAUUCAUUGUUUCUAUAUCAUCAGUGCUUUUUAUUUUUUAUUUUACCAUAUCGAUAUACGCUUACGCGUAGCCUAUAUUUUUUCUUUUCUUUUUUUACACCCUUCCAUAGACGAAGUCCGCAUAUUUUCACAUCUAGGAUUUGCAUAUACAACAUAUAUCACUGUCACGAGGGAAUUUCUUAUUAGUUAGGUAAGGUAUUUCGAUUCCACAAAAGGUAAAAAAAUUGGGUUGCACUAUACAAUAAUAAUGUAUUUGGUAAAUCAAAUACCGUGUUCUAAUAAUAAAACAUUCUAAUUACUUGAUAAUAUUAGUAUUAGUUGGGAAGUUUGUGAAAGAUUUCAAUGAAAAGUUUCAUUAACACCUAAUUCGUGUUGAGUAGACCUUGUUGUUGUCAGAAUUCUUAAUUCAUGAGUUGUAGGGAGGGAUUUAUGUCAUCACAAACAGAGACUAAAGCAAGUGUUGGAUUCAAAGCGGGUAUUAAAGAAUACAAAUUAACUUAUUAUACUCCUGAAUACGAAACCAAGGAUACUGAUAUCUUGGCAGCAUUCCAAGUAACUAUUCAACCUGGAGUUCCGCCUGAAUAAGCAGAGGCUACGGUAGCUGUCGAAUAUUCUAUUGGUAAAUGGACAACUGUGUGGACCGAUGGACUUACCAGCCUUGAUCGUUACAAAAGACGGGACUUUGCUGUUC
rnacentral:lncRNA from 1 species